GGAUUCAGGAGUUCUCAAGCACUGAUCUCAGCAACUUUGCUGUAUAUGGUUUGGAGAGGACUUGCACAACCUGCUCGGGGCACCUGUACCAACGAGGAUCCUCCUCUUGCCUUCAGCAGUAUGGAGAAAGUGGACUCCUUGGGUGCUUCUUCUAGAAUAUUCCAGCCUUCCACAAUGGGACACGGUUUUGACGUGCAUCUGGAUGGUGAAUGCAGAAACACUGAAGCAAGGUAUGUUGUAAAAACAAAAACAACACAGGAACACCUGACCCACAGCCAGGAGCCUCCCCGUUACAUUGGGAACAGCCCUCAUCAGCAUCUCACACUGAGGCAGCUUGAGCUGACGAAGCCUUUGGAAAGCACUGAUUCCUAUGUGUCCUGGAGCACAGCAAGCACAGAUGAUGAUGAAGCCAUCACAGCUGGUUACAGCUGUAUUGCAUGAGCUUGAGCUGCCCAUUCUUUGGUGCCAGUGGAUGGCAUGAUGCUUUGAAAAGGAGCCCAUCAUUGGACAUCAUGGAACCUAAUUGGCACGGUUUGUCACAGCAUCAACACUGGGUAGCUUAGCCUGUAGAGCUGAGGGACCACCUCAGCCUCUCAAAAACUACUGGCACAUGCUGUCUUGCUCUUUCAACACUGCACUGAGAUUUUCAUAUUUCUCCAGCCAAUCUUCCAUUCCCUCUCUUGCAAGGAACAGCAAGAAGGGCAUGUAAAAGGCAAUAGCGAGGCUGGAAAAUCCCAAGUAAGGCUCUACCCCUGGCUGAAGGUCAGGAGAGUGGCCAUAAAUGCUGGCCAAGGCUGGAUCAUGAGAGGCUCCUCAGGGAUGGGGAGCCGUGGACAGAUGUGCGCUCCUGGAUCCAGCUGUGCCACUGGACGUGCUCCCCCCUCCAGACAUUUCUCCCCACCCUCCAGAUGCUCCAGCCCCUGCAGCACAAAGCAGCGUCGCUCACUGGGGUGAACUCUCCAUUGACAGAAUGUUGCAGAGCAUCAUUUCCAGCUAAGGCCAGUAAUGAGUAGCUGGGGCAUGGUGACAUUUCCAGCUGACAGCCCUCUGUGGAAAGAACGUCUGCCUGUGGCUGGAGAAUAACCAAGGUAGCCAAGGAGGAGCGGUUUGAGACAGUUCAGGAUUGCUGGGAGGAGG
ensembl:lncRNA